CUCAACUGAUGUUUGGGUGUGCGAUAGAAGGAGCGCUUUAAUCACAUGAACCUUGCAGGAGUUCAGACAAACGUACCACACUGAAUACAGGCGGUUCGUAACAGUAUCACAGAGCUCCACUGCAAUAAAACUCACGGUAAUGUGCAGUAUGAAUGAGUAUAUCACAGAGCACCACUGCAUUAAAACUCACACUUGGACAAAUCCUGUUUUUGAGCCCUUCUGCUAUUUUUUUAACUCAUCACUCCCUAUGUUUCAGAAUAUCUGAGUCGGUGACGCUUGAUUACGGCACCCAGACCUACUGCGCAGUGUGUUAGAGAAAGCCGGUCCCAGGAUGUUAUAUCCCAGUCAGUAGAAGCGUUAGGCGGAGUAGAAGGAACUGACUUGCUCUCCUAAUACAAGUCCCCUGGGAGAACAAGCAGAGCUCUCCCCCUCUCCAGGCAGUAGGUAAGUUGUGUAUUACUGUCUGUGUGCUGAUGGAAGUGUGUUAUCCUCUCUGUAUGACUGUCUGUCAGAGUGAAUGUAUGAUUGCAUGUUAAUG